GGAAACAGAUGCUAAUACCGGAUAACAAUAGAUGAUGCCUAUCAACUGUUUAAAAGAUGGUUCUGCUAUCACUCUUGGAUGGACCUGCGGUGCAUUAGCUAGUUGGUAGGGUAACGGCCUACCAAGGCGAUGAUGCAUAGCCGAGUUGAGAGACUGAUCGGCCACAUUGGGACUGAGACACGGCCCAAACUCCUACGGGAGGCAGCAGCG
rnacentral:rRNA from 1 species